CGAGCGGUGCGUAAAUGCACACCGCGCGUAAGGGCGCGUACCGCCCCCUUGGUCGCUCCUUUAAAUUCAGGCAUAAUCCGGUAAUGGACUGAUAAUAGUUUAUGAUAAACGAUUCUGAGUUCAUUCUGCUUGCUUUGUCAUUCAAGAUGAGGAUAAUUCAGGUUUCGCUCCUUCUCGCUUUUCUUUUGACUACCGUCGUUUCUCAAGACGAUCCGGACGAGAGUUGGUCGAUCGGUAGACAGCACAGAUGGCCCCGUUGGGAAUCCAAUGCAGAAGUCCUGAGGAGCCGAAAGCGACGGCCAAGGAAACAUCGAUACAUGCCCAGAAACAGAGCUUCUGAACAGAAAUCCCAAAACUUCAUCGGACUGAUGGGAAAACGGAGUUUUGAAGAAGAAGGGAUCCGGAGCAACGUCUACAAGAAGAUAAAACUCCCGUACUUUUUGGACAUAUUAUUGCUGCAAUAAAUGUGUAUAGGGGGUGUUUCAUAUUGUGUCAUAUUCAGUGGAGAAACUCUAGACUGGGGGGCAGGUUGGAAACAGUUGUAUAUGUACCAGUUCACGUCAGGGAUUCAUUUCCCGGCAUCAUUUUUGUAAUAAGCGGGAUGUAUGGCUAUGUUUGUUCAUCUGUUGCUCAUCUGUUCUUACAGGUUGGAAUAAAUUAUGAUAUAGCAUCGCAGUCGCAACCCUAAGGGACAUUGUUUUUUAUUUCGUUUUGGCCUUAUUGAUUGUAACUAAUUGUAAUAAUACAAGAUAUUUCUGAACUUCAAAUAACAUUCAAGAGGUAUUCUAAGUCUGUGUUUCAUCCUUUGAAAAAUAAUAUUUAUAAAUAAUUUUGAACACACAUUUAUUCUAGAGGCCACAUCUUUUGGAGUUCUUCUGAGCGCUUUACUGCGGAACAUUAAAGCCCAUGGGAAACCUUGCAGCUAUACUGCGCUCAGGCGCCAUCUAGUGUCCACCAUUAAUAACACAAAACGAGCGUUUGUAAAAUGGACAUGAUCCAUCAAAUCUCAAUGACAUAAACUCUACAAUAAAGCGAAAACAAAUCCAUAUUAUCACAGGUUUAUUAAGUGACUUUGUACAUUACAAAUGAAAAAUAAAAUUAAAAAUACAGAGAUAAGAGUACAUAGCCCAAGAAUCUUCGAUGUCGACUUCUCCAUUUCCCACCAACAUUAUUUCCACUGUUACUGAAAUAAUCUUUCCCUGCCCUGGCGGACCAUUUAUCAGAUGUCUUCCGAUAAACGGUUCAACCAGAGGGCUUGCUGUUCUCGCGUCGAUGAGAAAUGAUCCACACAUACAAAAUAAUCAUGGAUCACUUCGGCUGGCUCGGUAAA